UAUAGUCCCUUUCGGGGUAAAGAUUUAUCGCCAAAAGAUUAGCCCGCGGUAGAUUAGCUAGUUGGUGAGGUAAUGGCUCACCAAGGCGACGAUCUAUAGCUGGUCUGAGAGGACGAUCAGCCACACUGGGACUGAGACACGGCCCAGACUCCUACGGGAGGCAGCAGUUAGGAAUAUUGGACAAUGGACGCAAGUCUGAUCCAGCCAUGCCGCGUGAGUGAUGAAGGCCUUCGGGUUGUAAAGCUCUUUAGUCCACGAUUAUAAUGACUGUAGUGGAAGAAUAAGCCCCGGCUAACUUCGUGCCAGCAGCCGCGGUAAUACGAAGGGGGCGAGCGUUAUUCGGAAUCACUGGGCGUAAAGCGUGCGUAGGCCGUUUGGCAAGUUGGAAGUGAAAUCCCGAGGCUCAACUUCGGAAUUGCUUUCAAAACUGCCAGACUAGAAUUCGGGAGAGGAUAGCGGAAUUUCCAGUGUAGUAGUGAAAUACGUAGAUAUUGGAAGGAACACCAGUGGCGCAAGCGGCUAUCUGGACCGACAUUGACGCUGAGGCACGAAAGCGUGGGGAUCAAACAGGAUUAGAUACCCUGGUAGUCCACGCUGUAAACGAUGUGUGUUUGUCGCUGGGAGGCUCAGCCUUUCAGUGACGUAGCUAACGCGU
rnacentral:rRNA from 1 species